GUGCUCACUUUGGCAGCACAUAUACUAAAACUGGAAUGAUACAGACAAGAGUAGCAGAUGACAUGCAAAUUCCUAAAGCAUUCCAUAUUAAA
rnacentral:snRNA from 1 species